rnacentral:rRNA from 1 species
UACGUAGGGUGCGAGCGUUGUCCGGAAUUAUUGGGCGUAAAGAGCUCGUAGGCGGCUCAUUGCGUCGGGUGUGAAAGACCGGGAAGCCUUAACUCCGGUUCUGCAUUCGGAUACGGGUGGGCUUGAGUUCGGUAGGGGAGACGUGGAAUUCCUGGUGUAGCGGUGAAAUGCGCAGAUAUCAGGAGGAACACCGGUGGCGAAGGCGGGUCU